rnacentral:rRNA from 1 species
UACGUAGGGGGCUAGCGUUGUCCGGAAUCAUUGGGCGUAAAGAGCGCGUAGGCGGCUAGAUAAGUCCGGUGUGAAAGUCACAGGCUCAACCUGUGAAUGCCGCUGGAAACCGUGUCUGGCUAGAGUCCGGAAGGGGCGAGUGGAAUUCCUGGUGUAGCGGUGAAAUGCGCAGAUAUCAGGAAGAACACCUAUGGCGAAGGCAGCUCUCUGGGACGGUACUGACGCUGAGACGCGAAAGCGUGGGGGAGCGAACAGG